rnacentral:rRNA from 1 species
GUUGAACGCUGGCGGCAUGCCUUAUACAUGCAAGUCGAACGAACACACGAUAAUGUUUGUCCUCUUACGGUAGCGUCGGACACGUGAGUGUCACAUAUCUAACCGUCCUAUAUAACUGGGAUUACUUCGUGAAACCAUUGCUUAUUCCCGAUUAUAUAUUGAACGACAUAGUUCAAUAUUGAAAGACCUUUUUUCUUUCGCUUAUCGGUUGACUCACUCCGGAUUAGCUAGUUGGUAAGGUAACGGCUUACCAAGGCAACGAUGCGUAGCCGACCUGAGAGGGUGAUCGGCCACACUGGAACUGAGACACGGUCCAGACUCCUACGGGAGGCAGCAGUAGGGAAUCUUGGGCAAUGGGCGAAAGCCUGAUGGAGCAACGCCGCGUGAAUGAUGAAGGUCUUCGGAUUGUAAAACUCUGUUAUUAGGGAAGAAAAAAGGAGUAAGUAAAUAUGCACGUGCUGACGGUACCUAAACAGAAAGCCACGGCUAACUACGUG